ensembl:ncRNA T22B7.18 ncRNA
GCCACACCCAUAGGUAGACCUUGUAUGUAUGCAGAUCCGAAAAAAUCCAUGCUUGUUCAUUUGCCUCCCACCGGUUAAUCUAUUUCUUUCCCUGAGAAAGGCCGGCUUUGCCUUCUUUUGCCUGCUUUUCCUUCUCAAUUUUGCCGCCCAUUGUACCCGUGUUACGCAAAAGCGGAUGACCAUUGCGGCAAAUGCAUACAAACACAGGAGGUAGUGUCAAAAUAAUUUGCGAUUUGCCUUUUUGCCUCCCCCCACCAUCUCCUCAUUUCUCCCUCAUUCAUCGU